AAUAAUAACAAUAAUAAUAAUAAUUAUUAUUAUUAUUACAGGAAACACCCCUGACAUUGAAAGUAUAUUAAUUUACAGAAGAGUAACUCUAAACUAAACCCAGUGAGACCCCAUCAUAAAGUCAUACACUAAUACACACCAGCCCACCUCCUAUAAGGAUCUUUAUCGAUUCGGACGAAAGCGAGGAUGUCACCACACUAAAUAUUUACUGAUCACACACAAAUAGCGGGAACUUUAACGAUUUUUUCUUGCUCUAAACGCAGAGAGAAAGGGGCAAAUCACUUUAUUGUUGCUUGUAAAGCAAAGAGCACACACUGAACUGUAGUGUUUUAAGAUGUGUCUUCAGCGGGAUAAGAAGAGUUAGGAGAAUCGAUACACAGUGAUUAGGAGCCCAGCUGAUGGGAGUAUAAGGACGAUAAUGCCCGCUUAGUCUUUGCAAACAUUACCGGAUCUGACGAACUCCUAAACAACUGAAAUGGUACCAACUUACGCUCGAAACAAACGGACAUUUUGAGUAUAUAUGAAGCAUUAUGAAAACGUAAAUAUUUUAUCUGUUGUGUGGAAUGGAAACAUUAGAUAGAAUAUAUACAGUGCUGUAUAUGUAAAGGAAAAAUCGGCACAGAGAAGAAUAUUUUUUUACAUAAAAGUAGCAACACGUUAGACAAAGAAAGGACAGAAAAAACGUAUUACGGAUCGGAGCUAUGAGAAACGAAACAUAACUUACCACAGAAAGAUAAGUGAUAUGUCAGUGCAAGGAAUUAAAGGCUGUUGCAUCACAAAUCGAGGAGACUGGCUUCGGAUCUCAGCUCAGUUACUGCCAAUGUCUGUCACAAUAACAAUGAGAGAAACUAAUUACAUGCUGAAUAAGAGCUUUGUUGGAAUGAAGCCUUCAGACACAGCUUGCUCAGGACUGCACAUGGGUUACACUUCCUCUUCUGGAGAACGGAACAUGAAGAACCAGGGUGACUCCAAGUGAUUUGGUAGUGAAGCACUAUGCUGAAGUACAGUAGCCCUGGCUAAUUCAUCCAUCCUCCAUUUCCUUCAGCAGGCUGCUGGGAAACGAAAGCAACCAGAGUCAGAGUUUACCAAGCCUGCCACAGACAGUUUGGUUCCUGUCUCGUGCAGUGCUGCUGGGAUAGUCUAUGGAUCCUCACAACCCUAAAAUAGAUAAGAUGGUUAGAAAUUGUGUGGAAGAGGAGGCGGUUAGGAUGAAUCUAUGGAUUAUGGAUUACUUCAUGGUGUGCAACUAUGGGUCUUGGAUUAAAAUUAGAGGCUGUUGACAUCACCAAAGAUCAAAUCGUAGUGAAACAGGAAUACAGCUACCAGGAACAUGACCUUUUAAAUAUGAAUGGUGAGCUCCAAAUUCAUUUAAAAGAGGGAGGAGAGUGGAAUCUCCCAUCCCAAGCAGACAUUUACUAAAUGAAUUCAGAAAGGAGGAAAACUCAAAAGAACUGAAUGCAAAGUCCAGCAAACACAAUCAUCAAACUUACAGAUGGACUAAUGUAACACCUUACUUUCAUCAGAUGUACAGUUAAAUUGGAAGAAAGUGUACAACAGGUGGCGGACAUGUGAAUGCUUUACUUGUUUCAUAGCUGCGUUCAUUACCAGGGCAAUUACAGUGUCACGCUGAAAGAACUUGGAAGGUGCAUAAAACAAAACUGCCACUAAAUAUGUCUUAAUCACAGCUGAUUUAUCAUCCUCUUGAAUUUUCGGAUGAUUCUUGUGGAUUUUUUCAAACAAUUUACAGAUGAGUGCUGCUUCUACUGAAGCCCCCCUGACAAAUGUUUCAAAUGUCCUUAUUUUUGUGUGCCAUCUUUGUGGUCAACAGAUGAGUGAGAUUAAUUAUGAAGAAUUAAUAGAAACUUAUGAAGUGGACAUACAUAAAUAUAACACUUUGCUUUUGCUUUUAAGUCUAAAAGAUUUGGGAGAUUUUUUUUUCAAAACAGUUCUGUUGUUUCCUUUACUUAUGUCUGUAUUGGAAUUGUCUAGUGAGUCGUUUGGCCUAAUUGUUUGACAUAACUGUAUAAAAAAUGUAAUUCCUUUAAUAGAAGUGAGAGCAGUUGUAUUAUUAGCCAUUUCUGCUCCAGAAUUUGUAUUCUUCCUUGAUUCACCAAAAUAGUCUCAUAUUUUUCACAAACACCGAAUUUGAUUACAAUUCAGAUUACAAUGAUGAUUGCUGGAUGUAUCUCAGCUGUAACCAGCACCUGCUUGAAAGAUAUCAACACUUGGACGUCAAUAAACAUUUUUCAAAUGAACAGCAGAAAAAGAAAACUGCUAUUGUGUAUAUGCACUUCAAAACAAGAAACACGAUGAGAAUAUUACAUUCUAUCACUUACAUGAACAGUCUUUUUAUCGUUGUAACCUGGAUUUAAACCCUUGCAUCAAAUCUUUGAUUAAAAUCUCUAACAUCUUUUGCAAUAUCUCUCUGUAAUUUUGUUAGCUCUCCUAUAGUUUAUUCCACAAUGACACUACCAUGCUUGUUUCCAUCUCUGACUGAUUAGUGCAUGUUUAAACUAUGUGAGUGUGAUUUUUUUCCUCUCAAAGUCCAAGGGCAUGCACUCAAAUCGGUAUGCAUGUCAUACUUGGCAGCAUGUUAGUGUGGGUGUGAACUUGUUUUAAUAUCAUCCCUACAGUUUUCUUAUGCUUCAUAGUGGUGAAGAAUCUGCCUUUGCCCACUGCUUGUAGGACAGGCUCCCUUUACCUGUAACAAUGGCCAAAAUGAGUAGAUGAUGGAAAAGAAAUGAUAAGUGGUCACAUUAUUGUCACUUUCGCCUAAUUAUUUUUUCUCCCCAAGUAGCAGGAACACUACAAAAGUUGUACAGAGUAAUCCUUCCCCCCGUCAUACAUACACAACAGUAUGACUACAUAACUCUGCAACUAGGUAGAA